GACGAACCGAGCGAACGUUGUUCGGAAUCACUGGGCUUAAAGGGCGCGUAGGCGGGUGCUCAAGUCCGGGGUGAAAUCCCACAGCUCAACUGUGGAAUUGCCUCGGAUACUGGGUGUCUCGAGGGUGGUAGGGGUAUGCGGAACUAUCGGUGGAGCGGUGAAAUGCGUUGAUAUCGAUAGGAACUCCGGUGGCGAAGGCGGCGAUACUGGGCCACUUCUGACGCUGAUGCGCGAAAGCCAGGGGAGCAAACGGG
rnacentral:rRNA from 1 species